AUGUAUGUAUGUAUAUGUUUGUUUGUAUGUAUGUAUGCAUGUGUAUUUAUAUAUAUAUGUACAAAGAAAAAAGCAGAUAAAAGCCCCAGCCAAUAACAUUUCCUGAAGCCAGAUGCAGAUAUGAGUGCGUAGUUCACAAGGCAAGGGGUUGUCCAAGGACAGUGUCACUUUUGGUCUGCUCCUGGGAGCUUCUGAGCAACCAUGGCUGGGGAAAUAGUUUAUGCUGAUUUAAGGCACCUUGGGGAUGGUUCUUCUAUUCAGAAGCAUCACAGUAAGUCCUACUUGGGAGGGAAAAGUUUGUUUCAAAUUUUGGGAAGAUUUUUAGAUUUGUUUACUUUAAGGUUUGCUUGCUUCUUCAUCUCCAUGUUGAGGUUUCCAAGAUCAUGGAGAACAUUGUUGUGGGUUAAAUAUCUUCUAAGGUAGGAUCCUGGCUUGAAAAGAUGGGAAAGAGAAAGGAAGGGAUGGGAGCACGUGACGGAUAUCUGGAAGACAUAUUGCUUCCAAGACUCUUCACCUGGGGGCCAAAAUGGGUGCCAAGAAACCCAACAAGAGCCAAAACACCUGAAUGGAAAGGAAAGCUGCUGAGAUCCUGUCUGGAAUCCUGGUGGAGAUGAGAGCUGGAGUGACAUUUGUCUCACCAACUUCCAGCUCUACCUGGAACUCUAAAUUAAGCCAAUUUCAGAUAGUCUCCCAUCCCCCAAGCUGGGGAGUGCCCAAGGGUGCUCCUGAGGCUCCUGCAGCCCCUCCUCCACCUGAAAAACCACUCAAUCUAGACCACAUCAGUGGUGAUUUACUUUUUUGGAGGAAGCAAAGAAGCUGUAAACUUCUGCUUAAACUCACCAACUUGACAGAGGGGCUUUUUUUUUUUUUUCCCCUCUAUCCCCCAGGCUUUUUCAUCUUUCAUUUUAUGAAGCAAAUAUGUCUCUUUCAGCACCUGCCUUGUGUCCAUGGUGGCACAGGCUCCUUCUCAUAGCCGGUGGGCUGGGGCAACUCAUCCUGCUGGUCCUGGUGGUGGUGCUGAGUGUGUGGGUUUUCCAGGGCUCCCCACAGCCAGUGGUGACAAGCGUUCCGCAGCUAGGCAGUGGGAUCCACGGAAGGAACCAGGUGGAGCAGUGCAUGUUUUCAUCCCUGGUGCAGUAUUUCUGCAAGCCCCAAGGAGACAGCCCCACAGCUAACCCCCCCUUCCCAUCCGACUCUGCUGGGAGAUGCUCAGCCUAUGCUGGUUGCAAGCUGUGUCCCCAGGACUGGCAGCUCCAUGGGGAAAGAUGCUACUGGCUUUCUGAGGAAUUGGGAAACUGGACUCAAGGUAUGAGAAGCUGUGAGAACCAGGACUCCCAGCUAGUGGUGCUCCAGGACAAGAAAGAAAAGGAGCACAUCAAGACUGUUACAGGCAAGAGCCCACCACCAGUGUGGAUUGGAUUAAGGUCACAUCAGAAGGCCUGGAGAUGGGUAGAUGACACACCUUUCAACCCCAAAAUGUGAGCGUAUCCACAGUUUGUUGGUAUAAACAGCAGCUUUGCUCCGUUUCAGACCCAGUUCAUGUCCUGACCAUUCUCUCCAAGAUGCUGGAGUUUAUGCAGUGUCUCAUAUUCCUCCCAGCAAAGCUCUGUAGAACAAAGGUUGGGGAACUGUACCAGAGCUCAGUAAUAACCCCACAGCUCCCACCAGACCCAUGCAAUAACAUGGCUUUUUAUGCUCCACACAUGCUCCUUGCAGAUCUUACUGCAGGUACAGCAACUCUCCUCAAAUCUGGUCACCCUCCAGCAAGAAAUGAUGCGUGCAUGGCUUGGCACCUCUCUGCACAAGAUGGAUGAAGGGUGUGGGACACUGAGAGCCAAGGACUUUGAAGUUAAUAGAUGUGAUGCUGAACUCAAGUGGGUUUGCAAAAAAAAGCCUUUCCUGCUCUGCUCUGCAACAGCAGAAGAUGGAGAAUAAGUGAUGCCUCCUUCUGCCUCGUCCCAAAAUGCCCAAGACACUUGCUGCCAAUAUUUGGGGUAAAAUAGCCCCAUCCUCACAGUUACAGCUUUGCAGGAGAUUUCAGGGUUUGCAAAUCCUCUUCCUGUGAGGAUCAAGACCAGUUUUGGGGUCACAGAUGAACCUCUGAGCUGGAGAAUCAGCCCUCGGGCACAGUGUUGAUAGAGUUGUGGCAUCAAUAAAAGCUUAUCAAACCGA